ACUCUGCUGAUCACUGAUUGGCCGGAGAGAAUCGUCACUACCUGCGUCACUGAACUUGCGACAAAGAGACACAACAGAACCACUAGAUUUAUCAGCACAGCCAGCGGAGGAU